CAGUCGCGCGGUAACACAGAGGGUGCGAGCGUUAAUCGGAUUUACUGGGCGUAAAGCGUGCGUAGGCGGCUUCUUAAGUCGGAUGUGAAAUCCCUGAGCUUAACUUAGGAAUUGCAUUCGAUACUGGGAAGCUAGAGUAUGGGAGAGGAUGGUAGAAUUCCAGGUGUAGCGGUGAAAUGCGUAGAGAUCUGGAGGAAUACCGAUGGCGAAGGCAGCCAUCUGGCCUAAUACUGACGCUGAGGUACGAAAGCAUGUGGAGCAAACAGGAUUAGAGACCCCCGUAGUCCCUGUUCUCUUAUAC
rnacentral:rRNA from 1 species